rnacentral:lncRNA from 1 species
GUAACUUCUUCUGCAUGGUGCCCCACACUGCAGAGUUCAGAGUGAGCAGUCCCCAAUACAGCCCUGAACGCAGAAAAUCAGAUGCCUGCAGACCUUGAUGCUCAAACCAAAGGAUGCUGCUCUUGUACCUAUUUUUGUGUUUUCUCACAAGAGGACUUCAGACUAAAGGAUCUAGAGGUACUUUUGGAUUGCUGUGAAGGCAGCUCUCAGAGGGAAGCCAUGGACAAUCUGCUCAGGAUGAAGAGAAAACCCUGGAAGUGGAAACUUCUGGGGAAGCUUCUGAAGAAGCAUCCUUCCCUGGACUCCAGCUUCUGCUGGACAACUGCAGAACUGCAAACAACUGUUUGGGAACAGCAAACAUCUCUGAUGGUAAAGGUAUGAGUAAACUAAACUUCCAUUGGUGGCUUUACUGGAUGGUAGUGACUGUCUUUAAAUUAAAACCAAAUAUCUAAAAAUUCUCCUAAGCUGGAGAUGUCUUAAGUUAAAUUCAGUGUAUUAUUUGAAAUUCCUUGUGAUGAGGGAAAUGGGGGAAAAAUUUAUUUGGGCCGUGCUUUGUUUGAUUCAGGUAGCAUUUCUGCUGGUGUUGGUCACUGACUGGUGGUCUCCUGUGUGGAGCAGAGUGUGCUGAUGGGAAU